CAGGCAGCGGAGAACAAAGGAGGAGGUGCCGCCACCCACCGCGGACCCUCCAGGGUUGGCUGAGCAGGGGUGGGGAGGGGCGAGGGAGGGGAGGGCUGAGGCGGGCCGAGGCCCAGCCCUCCCUCCCCUGCCCUGCCCUUCCCGGGAGCGCCGGGAUUUCAUAUGCAAAGGUGGAGAGGCGGGCACCAGGCGCCCGCACACGGCUCGCGUGUUUCAAACAAAGAAUUUACAACAAAGGGCCGGCGGCCGCGGGGUUUGUCAGAAUUCAGCGACGGGGAAGAUUUAUCUAAGCCGAGCGGAGGGGCCUGUGACCUUGAACAGGCGGUGGUUGAAGACGGAACAAAGAGCGGCUUGUGAUUAUCGUUAUUUAAUAUCAUGGCCUGAAACUGUCGGGAGGGGGAAUUAGGUGGCACAAGAGAAUUGUUUUAUUCCAGGAGAUGUAAGGCAGAUGCCGUGCAGGGGGAAACGCUGGGGCGGGAGGGAGAGGCGGUAGAUCUGGGGGGGCGGGGGGAGGGGGAGCGCACCCGGGAGGGACGGGGAUCGGCGGGAGCCGCCCCCUCCCUCGGAGGCAGGUCCGGCCUCAGCCCCAGCAGGUGUAUCAGGGAAGGCGGGGCCCUCCGGGCAAGGGGCUGGCAGAAAGUGGCCUGUCCUGGAUGCAGUGGGAAUCCCGGGGUGGGGGGCGCUGCCAGCAAACCCCAGACCGGGUGUCCAGCGCUGCCAGGAAACCUGGACACACGCCCUCAAGGAAGCAUGGCCCGCAGGAGGGGUGCGUCAGUGGCCUGGGGGGCUCCGAGGACCAGGGUGUGGAAGGGAGCAGAGAGCUGCGGGGUCCUCUCAUCAGGCCCCCCAAGAAGAGGGCGGUGCCCCUCACACAGGCGUCGGAUCCCGGGAAGUGUGCUCUUCUGGGCGGUGGCACACGGGGGUGACUGCGGGCGCAGGAGGAGGUGGCUGGCUGGGCUGCCUGGCUGCCAAGACUGGAGCCGAGAGCCAUGUGAGCCCGCGAUGGGCACCAGGUUGGGCCAGACCCGUGCCAGCUGUCCGGCUUCCCGGGGUCCAAGCAGGACACCUGCCUUCUCUCUGGGCACAUCGGCUUCUGGUCCUUUGGGCUGCCUCUUCUAACAAUGCCCUCUCUCCUGGGUUGCGGCUGGGCUAAGGGUCGAUCCUGGAGGAGGCAGGGUACUCGGCUCCACCAGACGGUGUCCGGACCCGGGACAACCCCGCGGGCCGCUGCCCUUGCCGUCUGGCUCAUCUCUGGGCGGCAGGAGAGGCUGGGAAGCCUUGGAUGGGAAGAGACAACAGUUUCCACUUGACCUUCCUCAACUGUAGACGUGCCCCGCCCAGGAAGUAAGUGGGAAGCCCUCGGUAGUCCGAGAGGCCGCCAGGGAAUAUGGCUGGGCCCCUGGGGACCUGGUCAAAGGCUAAGAUGUUUCUAGUUGACAAAAC